ACAUAUUAAUAUUUCCCAUUUCUAUAGAAUCACCUUCAGUGGGCAGGAAAAUUCUGAUGGGUCUAGCUAGCAUGUUUACGAAGGCCAGCAAAGCCAUCUAACCUUUUCCUUUUCCUUCUGUUAUUCAAUUAUUGGCUUACCUUGUAGGAAUGGCCAUUAAUAUCAUUUACUAUCUAGAUAAAGGAGGCAGCUGAAAACUUAAAUGCAGCUUUGAAGGCUUACUAUUGC
rnacentral:lncRNA from 1 species